CACGGGUCCACACCAAUAGCAGGUACAUCAGUGGGCGCAGACAGUGAACCAUGGCCUGGAAACCCUGGGGAGCCCACUCUUACGUCUGACCCCUUGUUUCUGGAUGAACAGAAUAGCAAUCCCACUCUGCAAGGAUUGCUGGAGUGUCUAGCCUGGGAGGACCGGAUGGUGGUAGACCCCUGGCUUCCUCACUUAGAGAAGUAGGGUGGGGGGCUGCUGGAGGAUUACCCGGGGUUCUUGCCAGGGACCCAACGUAAAACAGGCCCUGGUACCAAUGGCUUAUCACCAUAAGAUCCUGGAGUACACCCACGAUUACCACGAAAGUGGAACAAAAAACUGGACACCCCCUGUUGUGAUGGCAGGUGCACAGCAGAUUGCCCAAGCUGCUAGUGAUUUCAAGCUCUUUGUAGAUUUUGAGAGAGCACCAGGAAUCCCGUGUACAGCACAUGAUGGACUAUACAAGGAAGUACCAGUUGGAGUCCCCAAUGAAAGGCACAGGGAAGGACACUGGUUCAUGGAAGUGGGGAUACUUAUAUCCCAAAACAUGGCUUGGGGGCAAAUUCCUGCUGCCCUGUUUGUCUGAUUAGAAGUGCCAGGGUGGAUCUGCACAGAAUGCAUUGUGUCUGAUUGCUCUUUCCUGGGUGUAACAAUGUGGGGAUCGCCAUCUGUAUGCAAGGCUGAUUGUGAUGAAAAUCAGAGUAUGCGGGUGCACAAAAGAGUAUCCGUGCCUAGAUGGGCUCUCUAGGAAUCCUAUCAAUAAUGUCAAUAGAUACACCUCUAGAUUUUGCUUUACCACAUCUAUACCAGCCGUUUGUUGCCACUGAAUGUCUUUUUCUUUUGGAAAAGUAGGAGAAAAUGGUAAAAUAAAAGGAAUAACUAUUGUAAAAGCCAGCCGAUCGCAGCCGCUCUAGGCUGCGCGGCUUGUUUGCCCUCAGCCCCACCCCCUGGAGCACGUGGCACUGGGAGCUAGCUCCCAUUGGCCCGGCUCCGUCUCGGAGGCGGGGCUAGCAGCAGUGAACCGGCAGCAGGCCUGUGCCGGCUCAGUCCUUCCCUGACCGAGCAGAAGGAAGGACGUGCUGCUGCUCGGCUUUGGGGCCUCCACGUGGCCGGCUGGGUACCCGAAGCGGAAGCCGGAGCAGGAGGCCCACGGGAGCGGAACGUCGGGGAGCAGUGCAGCGGCCCUUCGAGCGAGCAGCGGAUUGGAGCGGCUCGGCGGCCAGGGCCUCUGUAGCCCGGCCGCCUGUGGUAACGGGCUCUGGGGGGAUCACAGGAGAGGCUUUUAAGUCCUCCUCGGAACGGCCUUUGAUCUUCAGGCCUCUCCACACAAGGGCUUCUAGGCCCCGGCAGGCCCAAGCUGCCCGGCAUCGAGUGAGGGCAGCAGGCCGCCCCAGGCCCUCAGUAGGCCACGCCAGGCCUUCAGCGGGGGGGCAAUUGACUAACCCGGUCAUCUGGGGGGAGGGUUGAUUGGACGUUGGGGGUGUUGGCUUGAACUGUGUGAACCCCUUCAACCCAGGGCCCGUUUAGGCCUUCUGCUAAGGGCGGCCUUUGCCUUUAUUGUCGGGCCUGUAGGGCUUAACCCUCCACACACACCCAUUUUGGGGGCCUGCAUUGACUAGGCCUCCCUGGUGGGCUCGUGGGCCUCCCCUGCCGGGCCUAAGCUCCAUUUGGGGGCCUUUCAGUGGGGCUGGGCCUUACCACGGCUAGGUGGGGCAGGCGCUGUGACUCAUAGGCCUUCCUUGCCAGCGUAGGCCUCAGUCAGGCCUUGCGCCGGCCAGGUCACUCGUUUACGCACUUGAGGGCAGGGUACAGGCCCAUAAGCUUCAUCCUUUGGGACAUGGGCCCUAAGAAAGCCCCAGUUAAGAAAGCCCCAGUUAAAAAGGGUGGGAAGGCUCCAGCCAAGAAGGGUGGCAAGCCAACGCGGCCACCUAAGAGGCCAAACGCACCCGCCGAAUCCUCCGACGAUGAGGGCGAUUUGGAACUGGGCGCCAUCAGGGCGUUUAUAGCACGGCUGCAGGCCCUUGAGAGGCAGCGCACCACUCUAGAGGGCGACGAGGCGGGCGGGGGGCCUUCGGGGGUGCCCCCACAUGCAAAAAAGUCAAACAGGGCGGAAAAGAAGGCAAAACUAAUGCAGGGCUUUGCUGACCGUCUAGCAGCUUUGGAGGCGGCGGCGGGAACUGCCCACGAGGAACCAGCGGGGAUCACGACACAACCGGCGGACUCAGGACCAGGAGACGGCAGGGACGACAAUGGUGAGUCCCCACAGGGGGCCUGGCCGUGGGGACUGCCCUUUAGCACCCCCUACGGACCAUACGGGUGGUUCCCAGGGCCAGUUAACUGGGCAUCUCCACACGCCACCUGUAAUCAGGUCUGGCAAGGGGGGAGCGCUGCUUUGCCCACCCAGGGGCCAACGGCACAGUUCAGCUCUGCUUGGCAUACUGGGGAUGGGCCCGUACCCUUGGGGGACCACCUCCUUCCAGCAGUUAAGGAACGGAUUUGGAAAGGAGAGUGCAUUGACGUGUUCCAAUUGCUCUUCAAGGAGCCGGAGCCACUGGAGAAGGAGGGGUCCCAGGGGAAGGACAAGGAGAGGACAAAGCGGAAGCCCAUUGAGCAUAAUUGGGCAAAUUGGGUUUCGGGGUACACAAUCUACAUGGGUGUUCUGAUGCAGAAAUAUCCAGAGCGGGGCCCCGCUCUCGUUAAGUAUUUUGAUAUUAUACACAGAGCCUUCAUGGACUUUGCUGGUAAUGCCUGGGAGCGCUACGACCAAGCGUUCCGCGAGCGCGCCUCCAGCAAUGCGGGUAUAUCCUGGGAAAGGCAGCACCCCGAGUUAUGGCUUCAGAUUAUGACACCCGCGAGGCCCUUGGUUGGCGAGCGCGCCGACAGCGGGCACCUCAUUUCCAAAACACCGGCAGCGUCAGCGGCUUCGGCCUCAGGCGCACAGGGGGUUCAGGGUCCCCUGGUGUGCUGGGAAUUUAACAAGAACGGGAAGUGUGCCCGCUCCCCGUGCAAGUACCGGCAUGACUGUGGCUUCUGCGGUGGGCGGCACACCAGUAUCUACUGCCAGCGGGCCAAAGCCCUUAGGGGAAAAGGGGGAUACCAAGGCCCGGGAGGGGCAAAGGGCCCAGCAGCCACGGCUGGAAAAGGGCCCCAGCCCAAUUAAAAUCCCGGUGCUCCGGAGGCUGCUGCGUGACUACCCCAACAGGGAGCGCGCACGCUAUAUUGAGGACGGUUUUGUGAAGGGGUUUAGGAUUCCGUGCCAAUCCAGGCGGGUCCAUAGUUUUGCACGCAACCUAAAAUCGGUUAGGGGGAUGGAACACAUAGUAGCGAAAAAGAUAGCCAAGGAGGUGUCUCUGGGGAGGGUGCUGGGCCCCUUCGACAGGCUGCCACUGCCAACAUUGCGGGUAUCCCCUUUGGGCGUGGUCCCUAAGAAGGCGCCGGGAGAGUAUAGGCUUAUCCACCACCUGUCCUACCCAAGGGGCGACUCGGUUAACGAUGGGAUACCGGCGGACCUUUGCUCAGUACGGUAUACAUCGUUUGAUGAGGCUGUGGCCAUGAUCAGGGGCUGCGGGCCUCGGGCACUGAUGGCGAAGUGUGACAUUGAAUCCGCCUUCCGCCUCCUGCCCGUGCACCCUGAUGACUUUGACCUUUUGGGCUUCGCAUUUAAAGGGGGAUUUUACAUCGACAGAGCCCUCCCCAUGGGAUGCUCGGUCUCCUGUGCGGCCUUUGAGGCUUUCAGCUCUAUGCUGGAAUGGGCACUGCGCCAGAGGGCGGGGCUACGCUCCUCCGCUCACUUUUUAGAUGACUUUAUUUUCGGAGGAAGGGAGGGCUCUGGCCAAUGCCUACACUUACUGCGCUCAUUCAGGGCACUCUGCGGGGAUCUGGGGGUGCCACUGGCUAAGGACAAGACAGAGGGCCCGACCACGAAGCUUACAUUUCUGGGGAUAGAGCUGGACACGGUGGGACAGCUCUCACGCCUCCCCGGGGACAAGCUCGGCAUCAUGAGGGAAUUGCUCAGGGAAUGCAGAGAGGCUAGGAAGGUAACGCUACGCAAAUUGCAAUCGCUGGUUGGCCACCUGAACUUCGCUUGCAGGGUGGUGGCUCCAGGCCGCCCCUUUCUAAGGCGCCUGUGUGACCAUGGUGGGGUGUAAUCGACCCCAUUUCCUCAUUAGGGUGUCUACCGCCAUGAGGGAGGAUAUGGGGCUCUGGCUCAGGUUCCUGGAGUCCUUUAAUGGGGUGUCAUUCUGGCGUUCUUCCCAGCUGCUCGAGGCCGACUUCCAGGUUCAGUCAGACGCCGCGGGCGGCCUUGGGUUCGGCCUGUACCUGAGAGGGCGCUGGUGCGCGGAACGAUGGCCGGGCAGCUGGUCGGAACGGGGAAUCACAAGGGAUCUCACCUUCCUCGAACUCUUCCCCAUUGUGGUGGCGGUGCACAUUUGGGCCGAGUCCUUCAAGGACUCGGUCGUGCGUUUCUGGUGCGAUAAUUUGGCCGUGGUUCAGAUUAUUAAUAGCCAGACUUCCAAAUCACAGAGGGUGAUGGGGCUGGUGCGGGCCCUGGUUCUAACAUGCCUUCGCCAUAACACGCUCUUCACCGCCCAGCAUGUUCCAGGGGUGCAGAACGAGGUGGCAGAUGCCCUGUCUCGCUUCCAGAUGCAGCGCUUCCGGAAGCUGGCACCUGGAGCCGCCAAGGAGCCCGAGCAGGGCCUCAGUCGGCUGGGCCGAGGGCGGCCGGGCAGCGCGCAAGAGUCCUCAUACUGGGCCAUUCCUUCAUUUUCUGGGCACGCAAGUGGGCGCAGAGCGCCGACCCUGGAACCCAGCUUGGUUUGGGGCGUUGGGCCACUGUGGAGUGGCUUGGCUGGCGGGGCAUGCGGAGGGCCCAGUUCCUGCCGAUGCUGCACGAGUUCCUGGAAGGGAAUCCUGUCCCGGAUGUCCUGCUGCUGCAUUUUGGAGGCAACGACCUGGUGGACCAGUCUGGCAUUUCGCUCUCAAGACAGAUUGCCCAGGACCUGGUGGUCGCCCUCUCCUGGUGCCCGGGGCUGGUGGUCAUCUGGUCUGACAUCACUCAGCGGCGAGUCUGGAGGGGGGCGGUGAAGCAGAACAAGGUAGAUAGGGCUAGGCGCGGGGUGAACGCGGCCAUGGCACGCUUCAUCGCCUCAAAGGGGGGUGGGUGCAUCCCACACAACGACAUCGCGUUCUCGCUCCCCCAGUUAUUCAGGGGUGAUGGGGUGCACUUGUCCCCCCUCGGUAUGAGGUAUUUCUUAGACGAUCUGCGGCUGGGGUUGGCAACAGUGCUGUUAGGCCUGUGGGGUGGCGGGGCGUCAAGCUAGGCUGACGCCCGCUGUGGCGGGCACAGUGCGGAGGUGAGCGGCUGAUGCGGUGCGGCACCUUAGGUAAGCUUUAGCUGUAAGGUGGAGGGGCAGAUCCCUUGAGGCUUUACAGAUCAGGGAUGCUGCCUUGCUCCCACCUCCCUGCAACCGACACCCUUCCGUAUGGCUUUACAGCGUCGGACAGGUGAUGUAAAUUGCAGGGUCCUGACCUUAGGUCGGCAACGAAGGGCGCCCCCUUCUGGAAGGUGGGCCGCCUGGAGCCGAGGUGUCUGUGCCAUGAGAUUCUAGGGCGGGGGUGGCCACGUGGUGCCCCCCCCAUCCGAGCCCGCACUGUUGCUGCUCUGAAUGCCAACCCCAGCUGCCGUGCCUGUGCAGGCACUGUCUUAAAACCUUGUACCCCUAAUAAAGUGACCAGUUCCUCCAUAAUA